rnacentral:rRNA from 1 species
AGUUGGUGGAGUGAUUUGUCUGGUUAAUUCCGUUAACGAACGAGACCUUAACCUGCUAAAUAGUUACGCAAGCAUUCCAACCGCCCGUCAUUCGGGGGCAACCUUGGGUGGCGGGUGGGAAGCGCUUUGCGGUGAACUUCUUAGAGGGACUAUUCGUAUUCAACGAAUGGAAGCUUGAGGCAAUAACAGG